GCCAAUGAGGUCUAGUGCUUUGAGUGUUGGACUAGCACUCUGAAAGCCCAGGGUUCAAAUCCCUGCUCAGCCA